rnacentral:rRNA from 1 species
AUGUCCAAGAAAAUUACCCACUGCUCCUCUGUCGAGGUUGCUGAGGCUGCGUUACUCGCUGGGCUGAUGGCCCUGUCUUCGACGUACAGGGGGGCACUGAUUGCUGAGACUGGUUUCCUUUUCCUGUCAAAGGAACUCCAACAUGAGGCUGUUAAUCUCUCUGCCUGUUUCCCAAUGAUCCAUGGUAUUAAAGAGGUGAUAAGUUCUUUUGCUUCAGUUCAGUUCAAUCAUGUUAAAAGGAACAAGAAUAAUAUUGUGCAUGAACUUGCUGCUCUUACCAGAACGAGCAGUAUAUUAAAGAGGAUUUGUUCAUGGUCGCUGGAGAGAGACAUACUGGAUCUUCAUGUAAUCCCGGUCAAUGAGUAA